CCUACGGGUGGCAGCAGUGAGGAAUAUUGGUCAAUGGCCGAGAGGCUGAACCAGCCAAGUCGCGUGAGGGAAGACGGCCCUACGGGUUGUAAACCUCUUUUGUCGGGGAGCAAAGCGAACCACGUGUGGUUCAUUGAGAGUACCCGAAGAAAAAGCAUCGGCUAACUCCGUGCCAGCAGCCGCGGUAAUACGGAGGAUGCGAGCGUUAUCCGGAUUCAUUGGGUUUAAAGGGUGCGCAGGCGGGCCUUUAAGCCGGCGGUGAAAUCGCGGGGCUCAACCCCGCCGAGCCGUUGGAACUGGGGGCCUUGAGUGCGGCGGAGGCAUGCGGAAUGCGCGGUGUAGCGGUGAAAUGCAUAGAUAUCGCGCAGAACCCCGAUUGCGAAGGCAGCGGGCCGUGCCGCCACUGACGCUGAGGCACGAAAGCGCGGGGAUCGAACAGGAUUAGAUACCCGGGUAGUC
rnacentral:rRNA from 1 species